rnacentral:rRNA from 1 species
CACAGGUUGAUCUCGAAUCAGGUAGGAAUACCCGCUGAACUUAAGCAUAUCAAUAAGCGGAGGA